AGCCCUUUAGCUCAGUUGGUUAGAGCAGUCGGCUUAUAACUGAUUAGUCGCUGGUUCAAGCCUAGCAAGGGCCACCA
rnacentral:tRNA from 1 species